AUUGAAUGGAUAAAUCAGUGGAAUAAUGAAGCUCUACAAAAUAUAGUGCCUCAGCAACGAACGUACGAUGCAACUACGACAGAAGCGUACUAUAAUUGGUAUCGCAUGAGCACGCGUACUAGACUGACGAGUGAACCACCUACGAUGCCAACACAUCCAACGCAUAUGGAACAGUUGCAGAGACGGAUAGACACAUCAUCAGGUUACUAUCGUGACUCCGCGAUUGAUAUUUGCACCCAAGUAGAAGCGAUGGCGAGGGAAGGAAUGCGAGCCCAGGGAAUUGAUCCUAAAGGCAGGUCCUU